rnacentral:rRNA from 1 species
GACGAACGCUGGCGGCGUGCUUAACACAUGCAAGUCGAACGGAAAGGCCUGCUUUCCCUUGUGGAUUGCGGGUACUCGAGUGGCGAACGGGUGAGUAACACGUGAGUGAUCUGCCCCCAACUUGGGUAUAAGCCUGGGAAACUGGGUCUAAUUCCCGAUAGGACUGCAGGGUGGUGCCUGUGGUGGAACACGAUUUUCUAGUGGUUGGGGAUGAGCUCGCGGCCUAUCAGCUUGUUGGUGGGGUAAUGGCCUACCAAGGCGGCGACGGGUAGCCGGCCUGAGAGGGUGGACGGCCACAGUGGGACUGAGAUACGGCCCAGACUCCUACGGGAGGCAGCAGUGGGGAAUAUUGCACAAUGGGCGGAAGCCUGAUGCAGCGACGCCGCGUGGGGGAUGACGGCCUUCGGGUUGUAAACUCCUUUCGACCGCGAGGAAGCCACCUGGUUGGAAGGGUGGUGACGGUAGUGGUAGAAGAAGCACCGGCUAACUACGUG